rfam:Camelus ferus unplaced genomic scaffold scaffold530, whole genome shotgun sequence.
GAGGGUAUAGCUCAAGUGGUAGAGCACAUGCCCAGCACGCAGAAGGCCCUGGGUUUAAUCCCCAGUAGCCCCU